CUCUCAGCCUCAUCUGACCCAGCCCCUAUUCAAGAUGGAGACGCCCUGGUUCAGACGCCUCUGACAGAUGCUCCAAGAUGAUGUGAAGCAGAUACAAGUGCCCUUCUUGUCUCAUGGACUCAAUCAGGAGAUAUGAAGAUUGACAACUGAUUGGCAAAAGUGAAGUCACUGUGUGACCUGUCCUGAAAAGAUGGUGGCUGCAUCUAGAAACAGUGACGUGUUUGGGGAACAAUGGAGUAGAGUCAGAGACGCACCUACUAAGACAUUUUGGCUGCUGGGCACCUGAACAUGAGCAAUGUGAAGCUUCCGGUCAUAAAAGGCCCUGCAGCUUCCUCCAGGUUCUUUUGGAGCACUUGACUCUGCAGACACCCCCAGGCCCCAUGAUCAAGAGUCCUGGACAUGCCGAGGCUUUACUGCACCUCACCCAGCUCAGGAACCAGAUGUGAGCAAAAACGCUUCCAGGUGAGAACAGUCGGCAGUUGUUUGACGCUCCCGGAGUGAUCCUAAAAUCAUGAGCCUCGUGAAGCCUUAGGCAUCAUGGAGUUGGAACAAAACUCUCUAAAUUUCUGGCCCACAGAAUCCAUGAGCAUAGUACAAUAGUUGUCACCUUACAACACUAAGUUUAGGGUGGUUUAUUACACAGAACUAUAUAACCAGAAAGACCCAGGACAGGAUGAGAGUCACAGCAGACGAAGCAUCGUGCACCAUUUCACUGAGAGUAUGUAAACUUGUCACUGUAUAGAGGUGCUGUGGUUGUGGGGGUUGAGCUGAUCCCACAGGAGACCCUAUAGCUGUCUCCUGUGCCAGGUGCCAGGAAGUGGCUAUGUCUUAGGCCCAGAAUGUUUGGUCUCAUUGGGGUGGGGUGGGCAGAGAGGGAAGGGCAAGUAUUUGAAAAGGGAAAGCACCUUGGUAAUAAACUUUGGACACUUAAUUUGACUAUUAUUUCAGAAAUGACUAUAAUCUGCCAGGCGCGGUGAUUCACACCUGUAAUCCCAGCACUUUGCGAGGUCAAGGCGGGAGG
rnacentral:lncRNA from 1 species